AGAAGAUAUGCCCUAGGAAGCUGCAUGGCCUGAUUUGAGGUCUUGUGAAGGACGGCAAGGUAACUUGCAUACAGUCUUAUUAGUCUUUUGAAAUGCCACCUUUCUGCUGCACAGCCUUGGACAAAUUUGUGUAGCUUGGCAGAGACACCAUCAUUCAACAACAGGCUGCAGCCCAGCAAGAUGUCGUGUCUGGUGUGGCCAAGGCAUGGUUGAUAUUUUGGCCUCCCGCCUGUAGGAUGUGCCUCCAGGCACCCAGCAAGAGCUGCAGAGCAAAAUGCUUUUUUGGGAAAGCCAUGCUAUCAUCCCCCCAAACAGCAAACUCCAAACCCGAAAGAGAAAGGGCCCUUUGAAGUGAGCUGCCCAAACGCGACGUGUGACAUCAGAAGAUGGCAGAUAGCUGGCAGAACAAGGCUUCCUUUCAGCCUGGCCCGGCCCCGGCUGUGCACGAUUUACACCCCACCUCCCCAUGCUGGAGAUGAAAGAUGCCCCAGGCAGCCUGCCUGACCCCGUUGCUUCUGCUAUCUCCACUUGAUUGCACAGUGUUUUUGCUCCAAACAAUCCUUCACUGUCUGGGCCGCACAGGUUCAACCUGCCUUUCUGUCGAAAGCAAGCUGGUCUCCCACCUUGGGUCCUUGCAUUAAAAGGUAUGGUGGAAGGAGGACAUUUGCCUGCAUGUCUAUGCUGAAAGGAAAAUCUUUGAGAAGCUGUUCAGUCUUGAGACAAUGGAUUUUGUAGAAGAUGAGUUGUGGUAAAAUAGCUGCAAAUUAAACACACAUCCAACAAGCCUGGAGGACAGUGAGUCUGAGGAACCAAGCAGAUGGGCUCAAGAAAGCUCUGAGUGUUCAAGUGGCAUCAGGGAUGUGCCCACACAAAUGUCUCAGUAGGUUCUUCCUGAGCUAAUGCAAUCCCAGAGGCAUGUCCUAGAUUCGUGUGAGAGGGGCAUGUGUCAAAACCCUGAAGGGUAUUCGGCAGCUCCCAUAAGAUCUGAGCACCCUUUUGACCUCUACUGAAAAGAUCAGAGCCAAGUUUUCCCUUGCGUUCAGAGACUUGUAAAGGCUGAAUGCCCUAAAAUCAAUGUUACUAGUGGGAACAUGGAAAUUAAUUGUGUCAAUCUAUCACUCAUCUUCCCCUAUUACAUUCAGUGAUUGGAACUUGGCCUCCAGUGCAUGAACAAAGUGUCUUCUGUGACAGGUAACCGCUGUGCGGGAGGUGGCUGCAUGACUGAGUGGUGGAGAGGGCAGGACAAAAUAAAAGUUUGGGUUCAACAUCUUGUUUGAUUUUUUUUUUUUUUUCCCCCCUUGAUCUAAUGUUUUCCUUGCUUGGGGCUAUUAAGGUCAAUGUGAUGUUAAAAUAGGACAGAUAGAAUAAAGGGGUAAAACAGCAGGAGGUUAACAGAGGAGAGGAGAAGUAUAGGGAUGAGGUUUGGAUUAUUUUUGUGAAUUGUCUUAGAGUAGUGCCAAGUAAUUACACCAAGAUGAUUGGUAACCUGCAAAUAGACCAUGGGGCCAAGGGAAAUGCCUUGCAGGAUGCUGUAUAGGCAUUAUUCAGGUACCUCCUAAAAACUGCUUAGGGCCAGGCUGUUUGAAGUUGUGGAUGACACCAGUGCUUUGGGCACUCUUGCAUCUCUAGUAUUGCCCCAUCCACAUAUCACCUCUAGGCCUUAGGGAGCCAAGUGGUGCUGGUGGUGACCUCUUCUUCCUCAUCUUCAUACACAGCCAGCUUGGGAGCUGGGUGAGGUGGUGUCUCAGUCAUGGCUGUGAACCAGCUGGGGCUCCUGAUGGCAGGAGAGCAGAUGUAACUGAGCUCCUUCAAGGGACCAAGCUGGGCAGCAGUACUGAGCUCAGAUUUGGGCUGUAGUGAUUCCACCUGGCUGUGGUUUGAAGCUCAAAUCAUGUCAAGCUGAACGCUACUCUAAAACUGUGCAGAAAUUUGAGCUUUGCCACAGAGCUGUGCUGUUUUGCCCAGGGGAGAAGCUGCUUCCCACCCAAGGUCACUGCUAAACCUUGUGCCACAAAGAAAAACCAUAAAGUUGUCACUGCAGCUGAGCUUUCUGGAGGCUGCUGUGUUAAUAGCAAACCUUGGGGCUUUGCUGCUUCACUGAUGUCAGUGUACAACAAAAUCCAUUUCCCAGGCACGGACCUUGGAAGAGCCCUCUGUGUGACCAAGGCAGCAAUGCUCCCCCUGUGCUGCUGUUUGGGAGCUUUCCCACAGCCUUUUUUAUGCUCCCUUCCUCCUUGUAGUAGGAAAAAUGAGUCAGGGAAUGAAGUUGAGGGAUUAACCACAGAACGAGGCUCUCCUGCCCUCUGCUCACCCCCUGGGCUGGGGGGCUCAAGGAGCUCAUGGUGCUAGGCAUUUCCAGCCUACCCAUGUGCUGUCACUUUGAGGAUGGGACCACAGCUGUCCCCUCACGUGGGGUCUCUGUCUUGACGGUCGCUGCCCAUCCGUCCCAUUCCUCCCUCUCCUUCAUUAAGGCGCCGAUCUCUUCCUGAUAACGAGGGGUUUCUGUUGGACAAAACCUGCCAAUUAGUCAUUCUGGCUGGGUAUAACGUGGCACUUGAACAGCUGAGGGGGCGGGCAGUCCUGCCCCUUCUCGCGGUGUUGCCAAGCUUGCCAUUAACACAAU